rnacentral:lncRNA from 1 species
UCAUAGGUGUAGUUUAGGGUCAUGGUGGGUAGUUAGGGUUCACAAGACUAUAGUUAGGGUCAUGGUGGGAGUUACGGUCACGGGCUGGGUAGUUAGGGUCAUGGUGGUAAGGUCAUGGUGUUAAGUUACUUAGG